rnacentral:rRNA from 1 species
UACGUAGGGGGGCUAGCGUUGUCCGGAAUCAUUGGGCGUAAAGCGCGUGUAGGCGGCCCGAUAAGUCCGCUGUGAAAGUCCAGGGCUCAACCCUGGGAUGCCGGUGGAUACUGUCGGGCUCGAGUCCGGAAGAGGCGAGUGGAAUUCCUGGUGUAGCGGUGAAAUGCGCAGAUAUCAGGAAGAACACCCGUGGCGAAGGCGGCUCUCUGGGACGGUACUGACGCUGAGACGCGAAAGCGUGGGGAGCAAACAGG